UCAGAGACUUUGCAGCUAUUAGAACUAACCUGUGUACUGCUUACUUGCUACAGAAGAAGCAGCAGAAAGCUGAGCUAACAGGCUGUUUUGCAGAUUGAAAACUACUGCAUUGCAUUACAAUGGAAGUGCUACACGGCCACAUGCAUCAACUGCAGCUGUUGACAAGCAUAUGGACCUAUUGUUCGAGUCGGUGGUGGUGGAUGCUCUAUCAUAUCAGGAGUCUGUGGUGGUGGAUGCUCUAUCAUAUCAGGAGUCUGUGGUGGUGGAUGCUCUAUCAUAUCAGGAGUCUGUGGUGGUGGAUGCUCUAUCAUAUCAGGAGUUUGUGGUGGUGGAUGCUCUAUCAUAUCAGGAGUCUGUGGUGGUGGAUGCUCUAUCAUAUCAGGAGUCUGUGGUGGUGGAUGCUCUACCAUAUCAGGAGUCGGUGGUGGUGGAUGCUCUAUCAUAUCAGGAGUCUGACUAAGUACCUGUGCCUGAACCUCUCUGUGUCUAGUUCAAAAGACCUGAAAGACCUGCUGUAAGCAGGCACAGGUUAAGAUUUUAAAAGAACCUGUAAGGUGAGCAACACAACACAAUAUAAAUCUUUAUUAUUAUUGUACGCUGUACAGCUAGAAUAAACUUGCAUGCUCAGAAGCCACGUAUGAUUACAUCGCCUACAGGUUGCCUGAUGCUGAACUUCGGGCAGCUGCGUGUGACUGUACUCCCGAGGAACAACCGCCUGUUGGAGGAGUCGUUGUGUUGCUGUCAGGAGUUUGGGUCGGAGUCCUGGAUCUAUGGGAAUUCUUUCCUUGAAGCUCCUGAUCACACAACCAUACUGGCAGUCGGCUUACCCACUACCUUCUGCUCACCCGCUUGCAACUCAUGCUGUCAUUCUCCCAGACUUCUGGUUGUUGCUCCACCAUUCUGCUGUCUCCCGUCUGCUCUACAAUUUCAGACCGUAAGUACCUAAACUUUUCCUUUUGUAAGUCAUUCUUUAGUCAUUACUAACACUCAAUUUUACCUCAGGGCCUUCUGAUCUUUAAACACUAAAACCUGUGGCGUUUUUUCAGUCUCUG